GGACCUAGCGGCGGACGGGUGAGUAAUGCUUAGGAAUCUGCCUAUUAGUGGGGGACAACAUCUCGAAAGGGAUGCUAAUACCGCAUACGUCCUACGGGAGAAAGCAGGGGAUCUUCGGACCUUGCGCUAAUAGAUGAGCCUAAGUCGGAUUAGCUAGUUGGUGGGGUAAAGGCCUACCAAGGCGACGAUCUGUAGCGGGUCUGAGAGGAUGAUCCGCCACACUGGGACUGAGACACGGCCCAGACUCCUACGGGAGGCAGCAGUGGGGAAUAUUGGACAAUGGGGGGAACCCUGAUCCAGCCAUGCCGCGUGUGUGAAGAAGGCCUUAUGGUUGUAAAGCACUUUAAGCGAGGAGGAGGCUACUUUAGUUAAUACCUAGAGAUAGUGGACGUUACUCGCAGAAUAAGCACCGGCUAACUCUGUGCCAGCAGCCGCGGUAAUACAGAGGGUGCGAGCGUUAAUCGGAUUUACUGGGCGUAAAGCGUGCGUAGGCGGCUUAUUAAGUCGGAUGUGAAAUCCCCGAGCUUAACUUGGGAAUUGCAUUCGAUACUGGUGAGCUAGAGUAUGGGAGAGGAUGGUAGAAUUCCAGGUGUAGCGGUGAAAUGCGUAGAGAUCUGGAGGAAUACCGAUGGCGAAGGCAGCCAUCUGGCCUAAUACUGACGCUGAGGUACGAAAGCAUGGGGAGCAAACAGGAUUAGAUACCCUGGUAGUCCAUGCCGUAAACGAUGUCUACUAGCCGUUGGGGCCUUUGAGGCUUUAGUGGCGCAGCUAACGCGAUAAGUAGACCGCCUGGGGAGUACGGUCGCAAGACUAAAACUCAAAUGAAUUGACGGGGGCCCGCACAAGCGGUGGAGCAUGUGGUUUAAUUCGAUGCAACGCGAAGAACCUUACCUGGCCUUGACAUACUAGAAACUUUCCAGAGAUGGAUUGGUGCCUUCGGGAAUCUAGAUACAGGUGCUGCAUGGCUGUCGUCAG
rnacentral:rRNA from 1 species